rnacentral:rRNA from 1 species
UGGGGAAUAUUGCACAAUGGGGGAAACCCUGAUGCAGCGACGCCGCGUGAGUGAAGAAGUAUUUCGGUAUGUAAAGCUCUAUCAGCAGGGAAGAAAAUGACGGUACCUGACUAAGAAGCCCCGGCUAACUACGUGCCAGCAGCCGCGGUAAUACGUAGGGGGCAAGCGUUAUCCGGAUUUACUGGGUGUAAAGGGAGCGUAGACGGCAAUGCAAGUCUGAAGUGAAAGGCCGGGGCUCAACCCCGGGACUGCUUUGGAAACUGUGUAGCUGGAGUACAGGAGAGGUAAGUGGAAUUCCUAGUGUAGCGGUGAAAUGCGUAGAUAUUAGGAGGAACACCAGUGGCGAAGGCGGCUUACUGGACUGUAACUGACGUUGAGGCUCGAAAGCGUGGGGAGCAAACAGG